rnacentral:rRNA from 1 species
GACAGAGGGUGCAAACGUUGUUCGGAAUUACUGGGCGUAAAGCGCGUGUAGGCGGCUUGGCAAGUCGGGUGUGAAAGCCCUGGGCUCAACCUAGGAAGUGCACUCGAAACUGCCUCGCUAGAGUGUCGGAGAGGGUAGUGGAAUUCUCGGUGUAGAGGUGAAAUUCGUAGAUAUCGAGAGGAACACCGGUGGCGAAGGCGGCUACCUGGACGACGACUGACGCUGAGACGCGAAAGCGUGGGGAGCAAACAGGAUUAGAACCCCGGUAGUCC